UCUCCUACCUCAGCCUCCCGAGUAGCUGGGAUUACAGGCAUGUGCCACCACACCUGGCUGAUCUUUCUUUUAGUAGAGAUGGGGUUUCACCAUGUUGUCCAGGCUGGUCUCGAACUCCUGACUUCGUGAUCCACCCACCUUGGCCUCCCAAAGUGCUGGGAUUACAGAUUUCCAGGGUCUUUGAAGAUGUUAGUUCACUGUUUAUUCAUGUGGGUUCCUGUAAAUGUCUGCAGCCAAUCUGGAAGUGGAGCUGUAUUUGGAACUUUUUGAAUCUAAAUCAGUUUGGGAGAAGUGAGUCUUUUCAGAAUUUGACCUUUCAAUGAAUGUCUCAAAUUUGUUUACGUCAUCUUUAAUGUUUUCAAUACUGUCUUCAAAACAAUUUGAGGGAAUAUCUUGACAAGCGCCAGACAACUGAACCCCUAGAAACUUCAGGUGGUUAGCCUGAAUGUUUGGGUGUAUUCCCCAACAAACAUUCACGUCUGUCUUACGAAAGAACUCAUAAAGGCAUCAAUAGAGAGGACAAGUUGUGGGAUGUAAAGAUGA
rnacentral:lncRNA from 1 species